GGCAAGAUGACCGAGUGGUUAAGGUGCUCGACUCAAGCGUUAAAUAUAAUAAGCUUGUUCUGGUUCACCAGGGUGCUUUCGAGUGUCGCAAGACGCGUGGGUUCGAAUCCCACUCUUGUCA